UACGGAGGGUGCGAGCGUUGUCCGGAAUCACUGGGCGUAAAGGGCGCGUAGGUGGCGCGGGAAGUCAACGGUGAAAGUUCGGGGCUCAACCCUGAAUCGGCCGUCGAUACUCCCGGGCUCGAGCACUGUAGAGGCAGAUGGAAUUCCGGGUGUAGCGGUGGAAUGCGUAGAGAUCCGGAAGAACACCGGUGGCGAAGGCGACUCGCUGGACAAGUAUUGACGCUGAGGUGCGAAAGCGUGGGGAGCAAACAGGG
rnacentral:rRNA from 1 species